rnacentral:rRNA from 1 species
UACGUAGGCAGCAAGCGUUGUUCGGAGUUACUGGGCGUAAAGGGUGUGUAGGCGGUUCCUUAAGUUUGCUGUGAAAUCUCCCGGCUUAACCGGGAGGGUGCGGUGAAUACUGAGGGACUAGAGUACGGGAGAGGGAUGUAGAAUUCCAGGUGUAGCGGUGAAAUGCGUAGAUAUCUGGAGGAAUACCGGUGGCGAAGGCGGCAUCCUGGACCAUAACUGACGCUGAGGCGCGAAAGCUAGGGGAGCAAACGGG